UACGAGAGGCCCCAAAACGUUAUUCGGAAUUACUGGGCUUAAAGAGUUCGUAGGCGGCGCGGAAAGUAGGGUGUGAAAGCCCUCGGCUCAACCGAGGAAUUGCGCUCUAAACUACCGUGCUUAAGGAACCUAGAGGUGAGCAGAACAGAUGGUGGAGCGGUGAAAUGCGUUGAUAUCAUCUGGAAUACCGGAGGCGAAGGCGGCUCACUGGGGGUUUUCUGACGCUGAGGAACGAAAGCCAGGGGAGCGAACGGG
rnacentral:rRNA from 1 species